rnacentral:lncRNA from 1 species
GGCUCAGGAAUAAGCUAAGAUCUGGAUGGUCGAAGAUGUGAGGUGACGGUGUUGAAUCUAAGAUGACCCAUGGUGAAGGAUCAACAUACAUGUGGCAUGGCGAAGGAACAACAUACAUGUGGGGAUGGAUGUAUAAUGGGCUUCACCUAUUGUGGGUGUAACCUGUAAAAACUUGGAGGAAAAUUGGAAAAUGGUUGAUGACUAAAUAAAGAAAAAAGAGGGAGAAAUCUUGCUACAGUAACCAAGGUAUUGUAGCAUGCAUACUAUAACAUGGGUUGCAGGCUCGGUUGGACCAAGUGACUGGUUUAGCGGAUUGAGUCCCUUUUUUGGUAAAUUGAAUUCAGAUUUGGAAGAGAGUCCAAUUUUGGAAAGAUUAAUGGAGAUAAGUAAAUAAAUAAUUGGGUUUACUAAUUCUUUAAAGGUUUGGGAUUUCUAAUCCGUGCCAUAUUAAGUGUAUAAAUAGAUCCCGAGGGGUAUGUCUUUAUAAGACAUAGAUGAGAGAAAAUUAGUGUUGUAGACUAGAUUUCGAUUUUAGAUCGAAAGUUUUGAAAGGAUGUUGAUUGUGUACUUUGUAAACACUAGUUGAUGCAAUAAAGUCGAGAUAGUUCAAUCUACAUCUUAUAUUUUCAUCUACCGGUGUUUUUCUAGGUUCCGACAGUCUAGCCGGCGGCACAGUAGCGGUGUGAUUAGAGUUAGCAAGAUUUCAUCAGGUUCUUCAUUUUUUCUUACCAUUAACCUCCCUCUGAUAGGUUUAUUGGGUCAUGUUUGAUCCUACAUAAUCUAUAUCUUGAUUUUCUCCAAUAUCUCACCAUGUUUAAACAUGCAUUCUUCACUAUCUAAAUUAAUU